ACUCCUACGGGAGGCAGCAGUGGGGAAUUUUCCGCAAUGGGCGAAAGCCUGACGGAGCAAUGCCGCGUGGAGGAUGAAGGCCCAUGGGUUGUAAACUCCUUUUCUCAGAGAAGAAGUUCUGACGGUAUCUGAGGAAGAAGCAUCGGCUAACUCCGUGCCAGCAGCCGCGGUAAUAC
rnacentral:rRNA from 1 species